ensembl:lncRNA
CAAUUUAAAGGUGAGUAGGCUUCCUUAAUGCUUCAUAAAAUGCCAGUAUGGCUGCUGGACCCGUGCUGAGGGGACUCUGGCCUCGCUGCACUCAUGGCUUCUCCUAGCAAGGCAGUGAUUGUUCCCGGGAAUGGAGGCGGGGAUGUGACCACCCACGGCUGGUAUGGCUGGGUGAAAAAGGAGCUGGAGAAGUUACAGCAUGAGAGAGCAUCUGGUUGCCCUUCAUGGAGACAGAGCUGCACUGUGAUGAGAAGACCAUCAUUAUCGGCCACGGUUCUAGGGCCAUCGCAGCCAUGAGGAUACUUCACCCGCCCCUGGCAGUGGGAGAAGAUCAAGGCCAACUGCCCUUACGUUGUGCAGUUUGGCUCCACUGACGACCCAUUCCUUCCCUGGAAGGAACAACAAGAAGUGGCCGAUAGGUUGGAAACCAAAUUGCACAAAUUCACUGACCGUGGCCACUUUCAGAACACAGAGUUUCAUGAACUGAUUACUGUGGUAAAGUCUUUGCUGAAAGUACCAGCAUAGACUGUAUGACUUUUGCUAUUUCGCAUCCCAAUAUAGGGGUAGAAUAAUAUCUACUAUCAGCCGAUUACUAGACACAUGAAACAUCCAGUUAAGUUCCAAAAGUGCCUGAAAAACAAACACAAGUUUCAACGUUCAAUCUAAGUUACAAAUAGCGUUUCCAUUUUCCAUAGACUCUAAAACUCCCCAAAUUGCUGUGAGCUACCACAGUAUUUUCCUCAUUUGGUAAGAAACGUAAGGACAGCUUAACUGCCCUUCUCUAACCAAAGUAAGUCAAAAAUAGCACCCAGGUUUCCUGAUUCCUACUCCUGAGUAAAACGAAACAGGUUUUAUGUAUGUUGCAGGUGUCGCACACUUUGCCUCUUUGAAAUCAAACUUUUCUAUUUCACUGGGGAAAGAAAACAUGACUGAAAGUCCAGAGUGUUAGCUUAGAGCUCAAAAUACUAGCUGCUGUUUCAAGCUGGCCCCGGACAUUAAACCCAGACUAGGGCCUACACCUCUGACACUUGCCCCUGAGUCCUUCAGACAUGUUGAGAGAGACUGAGACAGGAGUCUUCCAGAGUCAGGAAGGAAGGAGAAGCACAGCAAUAUACAUACAUAAUAUACGUACGACUGACUAGAUUUGUUUGAGACAAGCGUGGUGGGAUCAGGGCCAUAUGGAGAGCUCAUGGCCUGUCUAAAUUGUUGCUAUGUGGAAAUUGGGCAGAGUGUUACCAAUUUUCUGAUUUUUUGUGUGGAAAAAAAGGUCCAAAUUAUGGUUUUUAAAUUUGGGGACUAUAUAUAUAUAUACAUACACACACAUACACAUACAAUCCAUAUACAUAUGAGUAUGUAAGUUGGCAGUAAGAGUAUACAUCAAAAAAUUUACAAAUACUGCAAGACAAAUAAAAUCCAAGCCAUCCAUUUGUGACUACAGUCAUAAGCAUUAACUUAGCCAGGGGCUUUUAGAUAAUUAUCUGUGAAGUCUAAGAAAAGACUAAGAUAACCAAAAUGAACAUAAUGUCAAAGGAUGAAAUCAUGAGGACAAUUUGGGUUUUGUUCCAAAGUCAAGUGCUUUUAAAAAGAACCUGUCCCUACUUCAUGUUCUGUUCUAUAGAGAACAGAACGUCCGUGGCCCUUUAGAGCUCUUUCAAGCACAUUCCAUUUUCUUCUGAUCAUACUUCCUCAAAAAGCCUUUUAUUUGGCUGGGUGUGGUGGGUCAUGCCUGUAAUCCCAGCACUAUGGGAGGCUGAGGUGGGUGUAUUGCUUGAGGCCAGAUGUUUGAGGCCAGCCAGGGCACAUGGUGAGACCCCAUCUCUACAGAAUAUUAAAAAAUUAGCUGGGCAUGGUGGUGCACGCCUGUAGUCCUAGCUACUUGGGAGGCUGAGGCAAGAUUGCUUGAGCCCAGGAGUUUGAGCCUUCAGUGAGCUGCGAUCCCGUCACUGUACUCCAUCCUGGGUGAUGGAGCAAAGAACCUGUCUCUAAAAAAAAAAAAAAAAAAAAAAAAAAAAAAAAAUUUAAAUAAAGAAACCUACCCUUUCUCAUUUCUCAACAUUUUUUGGCUAUUAUGAUCUCUAAGUGUUACUUCAAAUAAUUUCCAGUGAAUCCACACUUGAUGUUGCAGAGCCUGAAUUUGCUGCAGAAAUAUAAUUUCCUGUACUUCAUGCCUAAAGGAGAUUCAGAGCUAUCACUUAAAACCAAAAGUCUUGGUUUUUAAAUGUGCUUAGACAAAAAAAAAAAAAAAAAGAAAAAAAUCAGGAAAGGUACCUAAUCGUUUAACAGCAGUCGUCUUUGGGGAAUGGGCAUUUUGGUAGGUACAGUGUGGUGGACGUCCUUCUUCUUAUUUAUUUAUUUUUUUUGAGACAGUGUCUUGCUCUGUCGCCCAGGCUGGAGUUCAGUGGCACAAAUCUCAGCUCACUCUAACCUCCGCCUCCCGGGUUCGGGUGAUUCUCACGUCUCAGCCUCCCAAGUAGCAUGAACUGGGGGCGUGCGCCACCACGCCUGGCUAAUUUUUGUAUUUUUAGUAGAGAUGGGGUUUCACCAUGUUGGCUAGGCUGGUCUCGAACUCCUGGUCUCAGGUUAUCCACCCACCUUGGCCGCCCAGAGUGCUGGGAUCACAGGCAUGAGCCACCAUGCCUGGCCCCUUAUUUUACUUUAUCUUCCUAAGAGAUUAUUUGAAUUUGUUACACUAAACAUGUAUUUUAUAAUAAAAAAUAAUUAAGAUUUAAAACAAUGUAUUUGACUACUAAAAAGCAAAUUAUAUAAGUCAGUUGGAUAAUAAUGUAGUUAAAGAGGCUGUUUAGCACGAAUUUGACCAAAUCUGUAGUCAAAGUUUGAUUCUACUUGAAUUUUUUGGAAAUUUGCUGUUGUGUUUCUUACUCUUUGUCUUGUUCUCUGUGAAGUCCUUUCGUAAAAAAACAAACUUACACAAUUUAGUUCACAAAACUUUGUUGACCUCUCUGUAGAAAUGAAAACUAAAUAUAUGUAAUUGAGAAAUAAAAAAAAAAUGCCACUAUGACUCUUAACUGUACAACUUGCUCUCUUUACAGCUAGGUAAGGCCU